rnacentral:tRNA from 1 species
GGAGGGGUGGCAGAGCGGUUGAUUGCGCCGGUCUUGAAAACCGGAAGGCCCAAAGGCCUCGUGAGUUCGAAUCUCACCCCCUCCG